GAUACUAGUCAAAGGUUUUUAUAUGCUGCAGAGUUAAAGAGAUAGUUGGUUGUAUGUUUGUUUAUCUGUAUUGCUGGUAUUUAUCUUGAAUGCCUGCAGGCAGCUGAUGCAGCCAAAUGCGUACAACAACAAAAAUUAUCAACAUAUUACCGAGAAACAAUGACAGUGUGCAGUAAAGGCGGCACAAAAAGUCAGUUGUAAUACGCUUCGCGUUCUCCAAACCAAAUCAAAAAUGUUGAGCAAUUGGAUGUCUGUCACUACUCUCGCUGUAAACGCUUGCACAGACAGCGCGCUCCCAAUCGGCAGGCAGCAGACGGACGACGAUGACUGCAAACGCUAUCGCCUUCAUUGUUUGAAUUCAGUUCAGUUCCGGACGUUAAACGCGACUGUGGAGAGUUUUAUAACGUGCAGAUAUAAAAUAUUCGAAUUUUGUUGUUUCUUUCUUUUGUAAUGUAAAGGAAAAACAAAGAAAAGAGUCAAAAAACCUAAAAAGUUUAUCUGUCUACGACAAAAGUGUAUUCUGUGCAGCCGUCAAAGUGCAGUUGAUGCAAUUCUGUUGAAAAAAAAAA